ACUGUCCCACAAAAUCUGGGACUGUCCCAGCCAAACCUGGAAGCAUAGUUGCUGUAAUUAAGGGCCACAUGAGUUCAAGUGUGUUGAGCCACAAAAAGCAGGAGCAUACGUGCAUGUGCACGCUGCAAGAGAUUAAACAAAAUAUAGGGUAUGACUGUGUUUCACGCUGACCUCAGGCUGACGAGAAACAACCUGCCAGUUUAUAUACAACUUAGUAAGUAUCUAACCCUUCAUUCCCAUGUGGCCAUCUCCAUUUCAGCAGCACUCAGCCAGCUGGCUGGAGGCACGCAUGAGUUCUGAUUCACCUCUGACUAGCAGAGAAUGUGGUUCUGAAAGAGGCAUCUGAAAUCCACACUUUCCUAACAGCUUGGAGAUUAAUGGAAGUUGGCACCAAACCACUGUCCAGGGCAGUAAGUGCAUUAAAGACCACCUACCACAAAGCUAAGAAUGAUAACUACACGUCCAGCAAGGUCCUGUCUACCUGCUGUUGUUGCAAAUAUUUUGGAAGCCCUGGGUAUGGAGUUCCACAGUUCUGUCUGGCACGCUUCUAGAUGAGAGGCAGAGGGGAGGGCCAACAGCACCAGAAGAGACCUCAGUGGCAGGAGGAGAGAGAGAAUUGGGAGCAAACCUCAGAACAAGUUCAGAGUGAACCUGUGGCCAGAUAGACCUCAAAAAUGUUCUGGGGCUCGAUUCUGAGAACCUCUUGGAAGAGGAGCUUGUGAUCCAUCUUGGGAGGAAGCAAGACGAAAGCAGGAGCUGGAGAUGCAUUCAGAACUGUCUGCUUCUAUUGAACUGAGGCAGCUGUAUUAGCCUCUUCAUGAGAGGACCCUGAAACAGUGCAGCAGAAGGGAAGAGCUCAGGGAUGAUCUCUUGUCUGAACUGCAGAUUGGCUCUGGGCACAUGUGAGAUGAGCACCUGGAAUACCAAAGAGGAACAGGGUAUGGAGUGGGGGAAAAAACGGAAAGAGAAAAGGAAGCUCAAGGUGCGGCAUGACCGUGCUUGAUGAUGAUGGAGCAAGAACAAGUGCAGCAGGAAGACUUCUUGAGCAGCAGUUUGCACUGUUGGUGCUCAGCUCCAGCCUCCAAUCUGGCACCGCUGUCAGUGCCUGCAGAUUCUCCUCCAUGUGCCUGUCUUGCUGCUGCCUGUGUAGUUACUUGGCAAUUCAUGCAUUGAGUGGGCUGUAAAACGCUCCUAAUUCUUCUCCCUUGCUAUCUGGGGUAAGGAGAACAAAAACAUUUCUGAUAUCCAGUUCUGCUACCAGUGAGAUUGCACUGCUUACACACUAUUUUACCAGCUCAGUUUUGCACGUGUUUAUACUCUUCAGAUAUUUGUUUAUUGGCAGCUGUGACACCUGUAGUGCUUUUCCAAACACUGCUUUACUACUUGUUAAUAAAUUGGUUCUGUUGUAU